rnacentral:rRNA from 1 species
UGAGUAAUGUCUGGGAAACUGCCCGAUGGAGGGGGAUAACUACUGGAAACGGUAGCUAAUACCGCAUAACGUCGCAAGACCAAGUUGGGGGACCUUCGGGCCCUCACACCACCGGAUGUGCCCCAGAUGGGAUUAGCUAGUAGGUGGGGUAAUGGCUCACCUAGGCGACGAUCCCUAGCUGGUCUGAGAGGAUGACCAGCCACCCUGGAAACUGAAACACGGUCCAGACUCCUACGGGAGGCAGCAGUGGGGAAUAUUGCACAAUGGGCGCAAGCCUGAUGCAGCCAUGCCGCGUGUAUGAAGAAGGCCUUCGGGUUGUAAAGUACUUUCAGCGGGGAGGAAGGCGGUGGAGUUAAUAGCUUCACCGAUUGACGUUACCCGCAGAAGAAGCACCGGCUAACUCCGUGCCAGCAGCCGCGGUAAUACGGAGGGUGCAAGCGUUAAUCGGAAUUACUGGGCGUAAAGCGCACGCAGCGGUCUGUCAAGUCGGAUGUGAAAUCCCCGGG